CCUACGGGUGGCAGCAGUGAGGAAUAUUGGUCAAUGGGCUGACGCCUGAACCAGCCAAGUCGCGUGAGGGAAGACUGCCCUAUGGGUUGUAAACCUCUUUUGUCAGGGAGCAACGCCGGCUACGUGUAGCCGGCCUGAGAGUACCUGAAGAAAAAGCAUCGGCUACCUCCGUGCCAGCAGCCGCGGUAAUACGGGGGAUGCGAGCGUUAUCCGGAUUUAUUGGGUUUAAAGGGUGCGUAGGCGGAAUGCAAAGUCAGCGGGAAAAGCGCGGGGCUCAACCUCGAUCUGCCGUUGAUACUGGCGUUCUUGAGAGGGCGAGAAGUAGGCGGAAUGCGUGGUGUAGCGGUGAAAUGCAUAGAGAUCACGCAGAACUCCGAUUGCGAAGGCAGCAUACCGGCGCCCAACUGACGCUGAAGCACGAAAGCGUGGGUAGCGAACAGGAUUAGAUACCCGAGUAGUC
rnacentral:rRNA from 1 species